UACGGAGGGUGCAAGCGUUUUUCGGAAUUAUUGGGCGUAAAGCGUGUGUAGGCGGUCUUUUAAGUCUGAUGUGAAAGCCCCGGGCUCAACCUGGGAAGUGCAUUGGAAACUGGGAGACUUGAGUACGGGAGAGGAGAGUGGAAUUCCUAGUGUAGGAGUGAAAUCCGUAGAUAUUAGGAGGAACACCGGUGGCGAAGGCGGCUCUCUGGACCGAUACUGACGCUGAGACGCGAAAGCGUGGGUAGCAAACAGG
rnacentral:rRNA from 1 species